CCGGGGGGUUGAUGGGGAU
rnacentral:miRNA from 1 species